UACGGAGGGGGCGAGCGUUAUUCGGAAUUAUUGGGCGUAAAGAGCGUGUAGGCGGCCAGGUAGGUGGGUUGUGAAAACUGGAGGCUCAACCUUCAGAGGUCGACCCAAACCCCCCUGGCUAGAGUCCGGAAGAGGAGAGUGGAAUUCCUGGUGUAGCGGUGAAAUGCGCAGAUAUCAGGAAGAACACCCGUGGCGGAAGGCGGCUCUCUGGGACGGUACUGACGCUGAGACGCGAAAGCGUGGGGAGCGAACAGG
rnacentral:rRNA from 1 species